AAGGUCCGCGGGUCUGAGGAGCUAGGCGAUAUCGUAUCAGCUAGUUGGUGAGGUAGCGGCUCACCAAGGCGACGACGCGUACCCGGACUGAGAGGUUGGGCGGCCACAUUGGGACUGAGACACUGCCCAGACUCCUACGGGGGGCUGCAGUAACGAAUCUUCCGCAGGUGCAGCGACAGUGUGACGGAGCGACGCCGUGUGUAGGACGAAGCCCUUUCGGGGUGUAAACUACUUGUCAGGGGUUAGAAAGUUCUGAUCAACCCCAGAGGAAGGCACGGAUAAUCUCUGUGCCAGCAGCCGCGGUAAGACAGAGGUGCCAACGCGUUAGGCGGAAUCACGUGGGCUUAAAGCGUGUGUAGGCGGAUUCCUAAGUACCUUGUGAAAUCCC
rnacentral:rRNA from 1 species